rnacentral:rRNA from 1 species
GACGAACGCUGGCGGCGUGCUUAACACAUGCAAGUCGAACGGAAAGGCCUGCUUUCCCUUGUGGAUUGCGGGUACUCGAGUGGCGAACGGGUGAGUAACACGUGAGUGAUCUGCCCCCAACUUGGGUAUAAGCCUGGGAAACUGGGUCUAAUUCCCGAUAGGACUGCAGGGUGGUGCCUGUGGUGGAAAACGAUUUUCUAGUGGUUGGGGAUGAGCUCGCGGCCUAUCAGCUUGUUGGUGGGGUAAUGGCCUACCAAGGCGGCGACGGGUAGCCGGCCUGAGAGGGUGGACGGCCACAUUGGGACUGAGAUACGGCCCAGACUCCUACGGGAGGCAGUAGUGGGGAAUAUUGCACAAUGGGCGGAAGCCUGAUGCAGCGACGCCGCGUGGGGGAUGACGGCCUUCGGGUUGUAAACUCCUUUCGACCGCGAGGAAGCCACCUGGUUGGAAGGGUGGUGACGGUAGUGGUAGAAGAAGCACCGGCUAACUACGUG